rnacentral:rRNA from 1 species
GACGAACGCUGGCGGCGUGCUUAACACAUGCAAGUCGAACGGAAAGGCCCUGCUUUUGUGGGGUGCUCGAGUGGCGAACGGGUGAGUAACACGUGAGUAACCUGCCCUUGACGUUGGGAUAACUUCAGGAAACUGGGGCUAAUACCGGAUAGGAGCUCCUGCCGCAUGGUGGGGGUUGGAAAGUUUCGGCGGUUGGGGAUGGACCCGCGGCUUAUCAGCUUGUUGGUGGGGUAGGGGCUUACCAAGGCUUUGCCGGGUAGCCGGCCUGAGAGGGUGAACGGCCACGUUGGGUCUGGGCUACGGCCCAGCCUCCUACGGUAGGCAGCGGUGGGGAAUAUUGCACAAUGGGCGGAAGCCUGAUGCAGCAACGCCGCGUGCGGGAUGACGGCCUUCGGGUUGUAAACCGCUUUCGCCUGUGACGAAGCGUGAGUGACGGUAAUGGGUAAAGAAGCACCGGCUAACUUCGUG